GCCCGGGGACGUGCGAGCAGCUCUCAGCCCUGGGCCGGGCCGUCCUGCACAGGCCCGACCCCGCCGGGAAAGCCCAGGCCCCGGAAGGCCCCCAGGCGCUUCAAUGGCCGCCGGGGCGGACGUGGCGCUGCAGGUCCCCGGGCCGGGGGAGCAGUCCGCGCUUCCCGCCUCGGCUCUCUUUCCGCGACAUCGCCGACCUGAUGCCCGGUUUUCCCGUCUGUCCAGGGAAGCCAGGAUCCAUCUGACAUCAGCAAUGAUAUCCCUGGUUCCACGUCCUCUUCUGAAACCAGCCUGAAUUUCUGGCAGUUCCCUGUCGAUAUACUGCUGCAGCUGUUUUUGAAUGAUCUUCAGCAGAAUUUUGCUUGCGUGUGAUAUUAAAUGAUAUUGUUUUAUAAUUUCCACAUUCGGUAGGAUCAGCUUUCUUGGGAAUAGGCAUAAAUAUGGAUCUUUUCCAGUCAGUUGGCCAGGAAACUGUCUUCCAUAUUUCUUGGCAUAGAUGAGUGAGCACCUCCAGCUCUGCAUCUGUUUGUUGAAAUAUCUGUUGAUAGUCCAUCAAUUCCUGGAGUCUUGUUUUUCGCCAGUGCCAUCAGAGUAGCUUGGACUUCUUCCUUCAGUACCAUCGGUUCCUGAUCAUAUGCCACCUCUUGAAAUGGUUGAACCUCGACUAAUUCUUAAAAAAAAGAACAUUUCAAGAUCUAUCCUGAAGUACAACGCUGUUAGUGAUAGGAUAAUACCCAUAUGCCUACAACGAAGACCAGUUAAUAUGACUAGUAUUCAAAUUUACACACCAACCACUAGGGCCAAAGAUGAAGAAAUAGAUUUUUAUCAGCUGCUGCGGCCUGAAAUUGAUCGAAUGCAAUCAAGAUGCAUUGACAAUUACUGGCGAUUGGAAUGAGAAAGUUGGAAACAAAGGAGGAGUAGUUGGAAAAUAUGGCCUUGGUGAUAGAAACAAUGCUGGAGAUUGAAUGAUAGAAUUUUACAAGACCAGCGACUUCUUCAUUGCAAAUACCUUCUUUCACCAACAUAAACGGCGACUAUACACACAAACCUCACUAGAUGGAACACACAAAAAUCAAAUUGACUACAUCUGUGGAAAGAGACGAUGGAAAAGCUCAAUAUCAUCAGUCAGAACAAGGCCAGGGGCCAACUGUGGAACAGACCAUCAACUGCUCAUGUGCCAGUUCAAGCUGAAACUGAAGAAAAUCAGAGCAAGUCCACCAGGGCCAAAAUAUGACUUUGAGUAUAUUCCACCUGAAUUUAGAGACCAUCUCAAGAAUAAAUUUGACGCAUUGAACACUAGUGACCGAAGACCAGAGGAGUUGUAGAAUGACAUCAAGGACAUCAUCCAUGAAGAAAGCAAGAGGUCACUGAAAAGGCAGGAAAGAAAGAAAAGACCAAGAUGGAUGUCAGAGGAGACUCUGAAACUUGCUCUUGAGCAUCGAGCAGCUAAAGCAAAAGGAAGAAUUGAUGAAGUAAGAGAACUAAACAGAAGAUUUCAAAGGCGGCUCGUGAAGGCAAAGUAAAGUAUUAUAAUGAUAUGUGCAAAGAGCUGGAGAUGGAAAACCAAAAGGGAAGAACAUGCUCAGCAUUUCUCAAGCUGAAAGAACUGAAGAAAAAAUUCAAGCCCCAAGUUUCUAUAGUGAAGGAUUCUAUGGGGAACAUAUUAAAUGACGCAGGAAGCAUCAAAAGAAGAUGGAAGGAAUACAUAUAUUUGUAAUUACACACAUGCAAACAUGAGGGUUUGAAUCCCAGCUUCAUCAAUUUACUAUCUUUGUAAUCUGGGCAAGUUAUUUAACCUCUCUGUGCCUCAGUUUGCUCAUUUGUAAAAUGGAAAUAAAGGUACUAUUCUGAGCCAUGGUCCCCUUCUGCCAGUGACCACCCCAGUCAUUGCCAUCCACAGCAUGACACAUAAGUAUAAAGUUGCAAACUCCCAUCCAACUUAGCACCCUGAGAUGGAGACUCGUCUAAAGUUCUGCUUUAAUAGAAUUUAAGGUGGUUGUAAAAAUGGCACGGAUGCAGUGUCUGACCUCUAACUUCACGAGAGGGAAAGAAUCAAAUAGCCCAAGGCUCUUUCCUUUGAGGUGGUGGUCAGACAAGCCUCCGUGCUCCAAACUUUUUACCAAUUCUGACACCAACCGUCCCCUCCCAUAGCACCCUCUACUUCUCUGCUGGGUUCAAUAAUUUGUUGCAAUGGCCACACAGAAGUCACAGACAAUAUUCACAUUAUGGGGUUUAUUAGAGAAGUAACAGGUUACAAUUCAGGUUCAGGAACACUCAGGAUGCAGUUCUUUGAUCAGGACACCCUCUUCUCAACCAUGCCUGCAGGCAGGCCUCUCUCUGGCCCCUCACCGUCUACACUCCUUUUUAGCUCUGCCAGUAAGUGCCAGGAGGCACCCCACUCCUUGUGUCCAAAGGCACUUGGCUCUCCCACUAUGGGUCAACACACCUACUGUAAUCACCUUGUUCUGUCGGCCAGGAAGCCCACCGUGCUGUCUCCUGCAGGUCUUCUGGUUUGGCUGCCUUUGCUGCUGCUGUUUCUUGCUGUCCCCAGGGUUACAGCUCUCUGUCUCCUGGGGAAGUUUCAGCGCAGAGAUCCAAGGUCCAAUGGAUACACUUCUAGCUCUUCUUUCUUGGUGGCAGUAGGUGCCCCCUUCCCGCCUCUGGGAAGGCUCAUUUUAGGCAUAGCAGGAUGGUAAAACUGACUGUCAUGGAUGGAUUGAAUAGUAUCCCUCAAAAAUAUGUGCCAAAUUGGCUAGGCCGUGACUCCCAGGAUUGUGUGGUUGUCCUCCAUUUUGUGAUCUGAUAAUCUUAUGUGUUGUAAAUCCUAACCUCUUUUUUUUUUGACGGCACUGGGUUACUGGUUAUGAUGUUAAUAAGGCAGGAUUAGAGGCAGUUAUGUUAAUGAGGCAGAACACAAUCUACAGGAUUAGGUUGUAUCUUGAGUCAAUCUCUUCUGAGAUAUAAAAGAGAGAAGCAAACAGAGAGGGACCUCAUACCACUAAGAAAGAAGCACUGGGAGUGGAGCACAUCCUUUGGACCUGGGGUCCCUGUGCUGAGAAGCUCCUAGAACCAAGGGAAGAUUGAUGACAAGGACCAUCUCCCAGAGCCAACAAAGAGAGAAAGCCUUUCCCUGGAGCUGGAACCCUGAAUUCGGACUUCUAGCCUCCAUGACUGUGAGCAAAUAAAUUUCUGUUUGUUAAAGCCAUCCACUUUUAUUUCUGUUAUGGCAGUACUAGAUAACUAAGACAUUGACCAGUCCCCUCAUUAGGGUUCUCUACACCAUAUUUGCACAGUCCCACCUCCUCAAGGGUGCCAUGUACCUUAUUUACACUAUUAGCAAGCUAUCCAAUCCCCCUGGUGGGCCACAAGUGCCUCCUUUGCAUAAUCCCACCCAGUCAUUUGGUAAGAGUUACAAAGACUAAAAAAACCCAGUGCCGUCGAUUCCAACUCAUAGCGACCCUAUAGGACAGAGUAGAACUGCCCCAUGGAGUUUCCAAGGAGCCAUAUUAAGUAAUUCACUGUACUGCAGUGCUUUAUGAAAUGAACAUUCAAUCAUUUUAUCUAAAUAAACACUGGAAACAGUAUAAAAUAAUUUAUCAUUAUGUAAUCAGCUAUCUUAUAUCUGAAUUUAAGGGAUCUUUUAAAAAUAGCUUUUCAAAAAGUUUGUAUAACCAAAGACACAAGGGAAAGAUCAGUCCAAAGGACGAAUAGGCCACAACUACCAUGACCUCCACCAGACUGAGCCCAGAACAACUAGACAGUGCCCAAUUACCACCACCACCUGCUCUGGCAGGGAUCACAAUAGAAGGUCCCACACACAGCAGGAGAAAAAUGUAGAACAAAAUUCAAAUUCAUACCCACAAAAAAAGACUAGGCUUGCUGGUUGUCUUAGUCAUCUAGUGCUGCUAUAACAGAAAUACAAGUGGAUGGCUUUAACGAAGAGAAAUUUAUUUCCUCACAGUAAAAUAGGCUAAAAGUCCAAAUUCAGGGUGUCAGCUCCAGGGGAAGACUGUCUCUGUCAGCCCUGGAGGAAGGUCCUUGUCCUAAAUCUUUCCCUGGUCAAGGAGCUUCUCAAGCACAGGAACCCCAGGUCCAAAGGAUGCACUCUGUUGCUGGCGCUGCUUUCUUGGUGGUAUGAGGUCCCCAACCCUCUGCUUGUUUCCCUUUUUCUCUCUUGAGAGAGAAAACGUGGUGCAGGCUACACCCCAGGGAAACUUUCUUUACAUUGGAUCAGGAAUGUGACCUGGGUAAGGGUGUUACAAUCCCACCCUAAUCCUCUUUAACAUAAAACUACAAUCACGAAAUAGAGGACAACCACACAAUACUGGAAAUCAUUGCCCAGCCAAACUGAUACACAUUUUUGGGGGGACAUAAUCCAAUCCAUGACAUUGGCCUGACAGAAACUGGAGAAAAAAGAGUAUGGCCCCUGGACACCUUUUUAACUCAGUACUGAAGUCACUCCUGAGGUUCACCCUUCAGCCAAAGGUUUAUAGGGCCAACAGGAAACCCUGGUGGUGUAGUGUUUGAAAGCUAUGUCUGCUAACCAAAAGUUUGGCAGUUUGAAACUACCAGGUGCUCCUUGGAAGCUAUGAGGCAGUUCUGCUCUGUCCUAUAGGGCCACUCUGAGUUGGAAUCGACUCCACGGCAACAGGGUUUUUUUUUUUUAAUAGGGCCAACAAUAACACAUGUGAGGGUUGUGUUUCACAGUUCAAUCAUGUAUAUGAGACUAAUGGGUACACCAGCCCAAAAGCAAAGAUGAGAAGGUAGGUAGGGACAGGAAAACUGGACGAAUGGAAACAGGGAAUCUAGGGUGGAGGAGGGGAAAGUAUCAAGGGGUUGGCAAACAAUAUCACAAAACAAUUUGUGUAUUAACUGUUUAAUGAGAAACUAAUUUGCUCUGUAAACUUUCACCUAAAUCACAGUUAAAAAAAUGCAAGAAAAUGCAAAAAAAAAGUUUGUAUAAAUUAUAUGGUGUCUCUUUACUCAAUGUGUCCUGAAGUAUCCUGGAAUCAACUUGUGUGCAAGGGCAGUGUAACUUCUUUUAGACAUAAAUAAAUCUAGCACAGUGUUAGGAACAUUUUAGGGCUCAAUAAAUGCAUGCCGAUUAGACAGCUAUGACUAAUAUUUACGUUAUGCUACAGAACUGAUAAACUUUAGCUGUGGUGAUAAAAUAUAUUUUCUCUUUGCAUCUGCCUUAUCCAGAAAUACUUCUUAAACCACUUCAAAUUCUUCCAGUGAAAUUAGAGACUACAGGCAUCAAGGUCUUUGAUUAUUUUAUUUUCCAUCAGUAAAGACAGCAAGUAGCAGUUGCUACUUGUGAGAGGUCACACUUGUCGGUUCUAGUUACUCUUCCCAUCACAACAUUUUCCUGCUUAGACUCUGGAAAAGAAAUUGCAAAAGAACAGAAAACCAACUUUCUUGGACAUACGGGGAAUCAAGAGUUUUCUAAAA